rnacentral:tRNA from 1 species
UGCGAGGUGGAGGAGUUCGGUCGUCCUCGCCGGUCUCAUAAGCCGGAAACCGCGGGUUCGAAUCCCGCCCUCGCUA